ACACGCGCCGCGCCCAGCCCGGAGCGCGCAGGGGAGAGCCGGGCCUGCGGGGUGCGGCGGGCCAGGCCGGGGUGCAGAGCUUGGCUGUCUUCCGCGGAGAGCGAGAUCCCGUUUCAAAAUCGCAAAACUGUGGGGGAGGAUGAAGGCGAGACUUUCCCAAACCAUCCUGGGCACCAAAGAAGGUAGCGCCACUCAGUCUUCUUUGUUGUUCUCAAUGUAUCAAGCAAAACUAUUUCUAAGCCCACAUAUUCGUGUGUCAUAGUUCAGGGACACAGGUCAGCGACAAACUUCCAUGCUAUUACACCCAAAGAGAUUCUUUAGAGUGCAAAAUCACUCUGCACUCUGAAAGAUACCAGCCUUCCUCUUCUCAAAAUCUUUCGUGGAAUCAUAAUUUCUGUAGAAAUCCGCCUAUGCCUUGCCUGGUUCAGCCACAGCAAACUUACAGAGAGCUGCAACCCCAGGGAUACAACGAAUGCUUCAACAACGUGACGCGGCAGAAGCCUGGCCAGAAGGCCACACACCUGAGAGUUCGUCGAAGGGCUGGAAGCCGUGAGAGUGACAGUCCUCGAGACAGGGACUCGCUGUUACCCAGGAUGGAGUGCAGUGGCUAU
rnacentral:lncRNA from 1 species